rnacentral:lncRNA from 1 species
UGAAGGGAGAGUCUGUGCAGUGGCACCUGCGCGAAGCUGGCCAAAGCCUGCCCAGACGGCUCACCUGUGCGGGAUGGAACAAAAGGUCGGCUUGAGGUUUGCGAGUCCCAGCUCCCACUGCCCCUGCCACCUGCCUUUCCCUUCUCAGGACAUACACAGGACUGGGAGAAAAUAGACUAAGCUGGAGUACAAUGGCAUGAUCAUGGCUCACUGCAACC